ensembl:snRNA U6 U6 spliceosomal RNA
GCUUCCUUCAGCAACACAUACUAAAAUUGGAACGUUACAGAGAAGACUAGCAUGGCCCCCGCAUGAGGAUGAUAUGCAAAUUUGUGAUGCAUUCCACAUUUUU